GGGCUAUAGCUCUGUGGCAGAGCAUCUGCUUGGAAUGGAUAAAGUCCCAAGUUCGAUUCCUGGCAUGUCCA